CUCGUAGGUGGUUUGUCGCGUUGUUCGUGAAAACUCACAGCUUAACUGUGGGCGUGCGGGCGAUACGGGCAGACUGGAGUACUGCAGGGGAGACUGGAAUUCCUGGUGUAACGGUGGAAUGUGUAGAUAUCGGGAAGAACACCAAUGGCGAAGGCAGGUCUCUGGGCCGUUACUGACGCUGAGGAGCGAAAGCGUGGGGAGCGAACA
rnacentral:rRNA from 1 species